UAGAGUUUGAUCCUGGCUCAGAUUGAACGCUGGCGGAAUGCUUUACACAUGCAAGUCGAGCGGCAGCGCGGGGCAACCUGGCGGCGAGCGGCGAACGGGUGAGUAAUACAUCGGAACGUACCCAGUUGUGGGGGAUAGCCCGGCGAAAGCCGGAUUAAUACCGCAUACGGCCUGAGGGUGAAAGCGGGGGAUCGCAAGACCUCGCGCAGUUGGAGCGGCCGAUGGCGGAUUAGCUAGUUGGUGAGGUAAUGGCUCACCAAGGCGACGAUCCGUAGCUGGUCUGAGAGGACGACUAGCCACACUGGAACUGAGACACGGUCCAGACUCCUACGGGAGGCAGCAGUGGGGAAUUUUGGACAAUGGGGGAAACCCUGAUCCAGCCAUUCCGCGUGAGUGAAGAAGGCCUUCGGGUUAUAAAGCUCUUUCGGCAGGAACGAAACGGUCUUUUCUAAUACAAGAGGCUAAUGACGGUACCUGAAGAAGAAGCACCGGCUAACUACGUGCCAGCAGCCGCGGUAAUACGUAGGGUGCGAGCGUUAAUCGGAAUUACUGGGCGUAAAGCGUGCGCAGGCGGCUAUGUAAGACAGAUGUGAAGUCCCCGGGAUUAACCUGGGAACUGCGUUUGUGACUGCAUAACUUGAGUGUGGCAGAGGGGGGUGGAAUUCCACGUGUAGCAGUGAAAUGCGUAGAGAUGUGGAGGAACACCGAUGGCGAAGGCAGCCCCCUGGGUCAACACUGACGCUCAUGCACGAAAGCGUGGGGAGCAAACAGGAUUAGAUACCCUGGUAGU
rnacentral:rRNA from 1 species